GAUGAAGAACGUAGCGAAAUGCGAUAAGUAAUGUGAAUUGCAGAAUUCAGUGAAUCAUCGAAUCUUUGAACGCACAUUGCGCCCGCCAGUAUUCUGGCGGGCAUGCCUGUUCGAGCGUCAUUUCAACCAUCAAGCCCCCGGCUUGUGUUGGGGACCUGCGGCUGCCGCAGGCCCUGAAAAGCAGUGGCGGGCUCGCUGUCACACCGAGCGCAGUAGCAUACAUCUCGCUCUGGGCGUGCUGCGGGUUCCGGCCGUUAAACCACCUUCAUAACCCAAGGUUGACCUCGGAUCAGGUAGGAAGACCCGCUGAACUUAAGCAUAUCAAUAAGCGGAGGA
rnacentral:misc_RNA from 1 species